AUGUGCCUCGUUGACCGGAAGGGGUUUCUUCCGGACGACGAGGUACAUGUACCUUGCCGGCUGGAAGGAAAUUCUUCCAGUCGACGAGGCAUGU
rnacentral:miRNA from 1 species